CGGCUCCUCGUAUCAGACUCAUGAUCCGAUGAAAGGAUCUUCUGCUUCUUCGAUCUGCUCUCGCCUUCACGCACAACAAGACGCCCUUCCGGGUCAAUCUCCGGCUCAUCUUGGGGUCCUGCACUUUUUUGGCGGCUUGACAGUGAGCGGAGAGCCAAUCUCGUCUUCUGACGAUCUAGCAAGUCAAGAGGCUCGUCUUCGGACUGUUCAAGCAGAUCUCCCGGCAGCCUCUUCCGACUUUGAAGCUUUCUUGCCGAAGCAACCUUCGAUUUGUGCAAAGAGGAAGCUUUCG
rnacentral:misc_RNA from 1 species